rnacentral:rRNA from 1 species
GAAUAUUGGGCAAUGGAGGCAACUCUGACCCAGCCAUCCCGCGUGAAGGAUGAAGGAUCUCUGGUUCGUAAACUUCUUUUAUUGGGGAAGAAAAAGUCCGAUUCAUCGGAAACUGACGGUACCCAAUGAAUAAGCACCGGCUAACUCCGUGCCAGCAGCCGCGGUAAUACGGAGGGUGCAAGCGUUAUCCGGAUUCACUGGGUUUAAAGGGUGCGUAGGCGGCCUGGCAAGUCAGUGGUGAAAGCCCGCAGCUCAACUGCGGAAUUGCCAUUGAAACUGCCAGGCUUGAAUCUGGCUGAAGUGGGCGGAAUAUAUCAUGUAGCGGUGAAAUGCUUAGAUAUGAUGUAGAACACCGAUUGCGAAGGCAGCUCACUAAGCCAACAUUGACGCUGAGGCACGAAAGCGUGGGGAGCGAACAG